CAGCCGCCGCGGGAAUACGUAGGUGGCAAGCGUUGUCCGGAAUUAUUGGGCGUGAAGGGCUCGCAGGCGGUUUCUUAAGUCUGAUGUGAAAGCCCCCGGCUCAACCGGGGAGGGUCAUUGGAAACUGGGAAACUUGAGUGCGGAAGAGGAGAGUGGAGUUCCACGUGUAGCGGUGAAACGCGUAGAGAUGUGGAGGAACACCAGUGGCGAAGGCGACUCUCUGGUCUGUAACUGACGCUGAGGAGCGAAAGCGUGGGGAGCGAACAGGAUUAGAUACCCCAGUAGUCCCUGUCUCUUAUAC
rnacentral:rRNA from 1 species